UCUCCGUAGGUGAACCUGCGGAGGGAUCAUUACAGAGUUCAUGCCCUCACGGGUAGAUCUCCCACCCUGGGUUAUUAUACUUUGUUGCUUUGGCAGGCCGCCCGCGUGGGCUACCGGCUCCAGCUGGUAAGUGCCUGCCAGAGGACCCCAAACUCUGAAUAUUUUAUAGUCUGAGUACUAUAUAAUAGUUUAAAACUUUCAACAACGGAUCUCUUGGUUCUU
rnacentral:misc_RNA from 1 species